rfam:Mus musculus chromosome 2, GRC primary reference assembly.
CCUCCCUGGCAAUGGGCAAAGAGACACCUUGGUGUUGUUCUUAUAUCAGUCAGGGGCAGAGCAGAAUGCAGUUCUUUGUUCAUCCUAGCUUGAUGCCUGCCUUGGUGGCUAAAACUCUCUUAUACCUAGAUCUCAUCA